rnacentral:rRNA from 1 species
UACGGAGGGGGCUAGCGUUGUUCGGAAUUACUGGGCGUAAAGCGUACGUAGGCGGCGCGGGAAGGCGGCGGUGAAAGUCCGGGGCUCAACCCCGGAUCGGCCGUGGCGACUCCCGCGCUGGAGCACAGUAGAGGCGGGUGGAAUUCCGGGUGUAGCGGUGGAAUGCGUAGAGAUCCGGAAGAACACCGGUGGCGAAGGCGGCCCGCUGGGCUGUGGCUGACGCUGAGGCGCGACAGCGUGGGGAGCAAACAGG